CCUACUAGCAGCAGUAUUUUAACUGCUUAAAGCCAUUUGCUCUUGUUAUUCAUGAUGUUGCAAAUUUCUGUAAGGUAUUCGAAAAUAGUUCAAGAGUAACUCAUUUGCAUUACAAUGAACCAAAAGAUGCUAGAGUAGUCUUCACACUUAUUUUGAUACGUACGAGCAUAUUUCAAGCAGCUAAAGCUGCAAGUUAUAGACAGAGUUUACGUAAUGUUGCUGCUUCUAUUCCGCACACUAAAAAGACAGCUUGUACUUAGAGCUGAAUGGAAAUAUUCUGUAAUUUUUGUUUGAUAAGUUUUUUCCAUUCCAUUGAUCCAGGUUUGGGUCUUCUCAUUAAGUACACGACAUGGCAGAGCUUGAGGCAUCAACCAAGGAGCUUGAGGCGUUGCAUGUUGAAAAAAAAAUCAAGAAACACAUGUAAGUACUAUGGUGCAGCAGUUCCAUUGUUUUCCAUUCCAUGGCAUAUGGGAUGAAUCACUGAUGCUCUUUCUAUGCAACAUGGGACAUGAUUUCUUACAUGGCAUUCUUCUCCUUGACCGAUGUGUAAAAUUGUGGUGUACUGUUGUAUUAUGCCCUAUGCUGUGCUCCUUGCUAGUAUAUUGUAACCAGUGAGUACUCAGCCAUAUCAGUAUCGUACACGUUGGGAAUUCGUCUUUGGGAGCUUGCAGAUUUUAUUAGUUGUCAGUUUAACUCGUCUAGAGAAGAAAUUCAGUUUAAAGACAUGUAUUAAAUGCAAGAAAAUAUCAUGUUAUUCCUACUUGGUGCAGCCUAUCACAUAUGCCAUGACAUGGUGUAGUUGCGAUCAAGAGGGGGCCAACGACAAGAAGUUGAAUAAGAAUCUUUUGUAUAUGUUUUUGAUGUAAACUGGAUUGUGUUGGUUCUAACCUUGCUAUGUGUUUGUAUUUCGUCAAUUGAUGUUGUAAGUUGUCUAUUCACGGAGGAUUUUGUGGAUUGCUAUGUUGUAUAUACAUGUGGAUGGCUUCAUAAAUACUCUUUAUCUUGGGCCAAAGUUGGCAUUAUGAUCUCUGUAAAUGCUAAAACAAUGUACUUGCUCAAAAUUUCAUGGAGGGAAAUGGGUUAAUUUGCCGGACAAAA